rnacentral:lncRNA from 1 species
UGUUAAAAUUUACUAGUUUAGAACAUGGUUCAAAUAAUAAAAUUUAGUGAUGCAUAGAAGGGGACGAAGUCCGAUUUAAAAUGCUUACCUGAGUGUACAGCAGUACUUUCAGCAUACUGUUGGAGAGAGUAUUUAUUCAGCGGUGGCUCCAUUGUAUUAGAAGGCACUAAAUAGCCUAACAGAGUUACCAUUUUAAUUCUAGGUAGGCAUAUUAUUAACUCAAGCAGGCUGUUUUGACAAGUACUUUUUAAGCCCUAGGGUUCACUGUAAUAUUUUGCUAGAUUAAUAUAUGAAAAUGAAUACGUAUUUAGUUUGCUUUAAUUGUGUAAUAAAGUUGAAAUAAAUGCUGU